rnacentral:rRNA from 1 species
GGAAACUAGGGGUGCUUCCAUCUGAAGAAUCUGGAGACAGGUGCUGCAUGGCUGUCGUCAGCUCGUGUCGUGAGAUGUUGGGUUAAGUCCCGCAACGAGCGCAACCCUUGCCUUUAGUUGCCAGCAGUUCGGCUGGGCACUCUAAAGGGACUGCCGGUGUUAAACCGGAGGAAGGUGGGGAUGACGUCAAGUCCUCAUGGCCUUUAUGACCAGGGCUACACACGUACUACAAUGGCCGAUACAAAGGGCAGCGACACUGCGAGGUGAAGCCAAUCCCGUAAAAUCGGUCUCAGUCCGGAUUGGAGUCUGCAACUCGACUCCAUGAAGUUGGAAUCGCUAGUAAUCGUGGAUCAGCAUGCCACGGUGAAUACGUUCCCGGGCCUU